GACGAACGCUGGCGGCGUGCUUAACACAUGCAAGUCGAACGGUGAAGCGGAGCUUGCUCCGCGGAUCAGUGGCGAACGGGUGAGUAACACGUGAGCAACCUGCCCUUGACUCUGGGAUAACAGUUGGAAACAGCUGCUAAUACCGGAUAUGACCUCUAAAGACAUCUUCGGAGGUGGAAAGCUCCGACGGUCAAGGAUGGGCUCGCGGCCUAUCAGCUUGUUGGUGGGGUAACGGCCCACCAAGGCGACGACGGGUAGCCGGCCUGAGAGGGCGACCGGCCACACUGGGACUGAGAUACGGCCCAGACUCCUACGGGAGGCAGCAGUGGGGAAUAUUGGACAAUGGGCGAAAGCCUGAUCCAGCAACGCCGCGUGAGGGAUGACGGCCUUCGGGUUGUAAACCUCUUUCAGCAGGGACGAAGCGCAAGUGACGGUACCUGCAGAAGAAGCACCGGCCAACUACGUGCCAGCAGCCGCAGUAAGAC
rnacentral:rRNA from 1 species